GAUGAACGCUAGCGGGAGGCUUAACACAUGCAAGUCGAGGGGUAAAUGGUAGCAAUACUAUGAGACCGGCGGACGGGUGCGUAACGCGUAUGCAACAUACCUUGUGCAGGGGGAUAGCCCGUGGAAACGCGGAUUAAUAUUCCAUAGUCCAGCUAUAUCGCAUGGUAUAGUUGGUAAAGAUUUAUCGGCACAAGUUUGGCAUGCGUCUGAUUAGCUUGUUGGUAGGGUAACGGCCUACCAAGGCUACGAUCAGUAGGGGUUCUGAGAGGAUUAACCCCCACACUGGUACUGAGACACGGACCAGACUCCUACGGGAGGCAGCAGUGAGGAAUAUUGGACAAUGGAUGGAAAUCUGAUCCAGCCAUGCCGCGUGCAGGAAGACGGCCCUAUGGGUUGUAAACUGCUUUUAUAUGGGAGCAAUAAGGUUUACGCGUAGACCGAUGAGAGUACCAUAUGAAUAAGCAUCGGCUAACUCCGUGCCAGC
rnacentral:rRNA from 1 species